rnacentral:rRNA from 1 species
CAAGUACCGUGAGGGAAAGUUGAAAAGCACUCUGAAUAGAGAGUUAAAUAGUACGUGAAACCGCUUAGGGGUUAAGCCUGAUGAGCCCGAAUAUUUGAAAUGAGAAAUUCAUUAUCAKUCAGUAGYUGCCUCGGCAGUGAACGAUGGUAUGCACUUUUCUCAGUGUAAAACAUUGCAAUCUAUUUGUAUAUCCGUAUGGAUGGUUUAUCAAAUGGCCCGUAUGGUUUGUUCAUGCCUAUCUGUGACAUUUUAUGUCAUAUGGUUGAUGCCAUAGCGGUGACCUGGUAAACAGCAGAUAGUUUUUAGCAGUCAUGCAACCACAUUUUAUGUGUAUCACGGCUUGUGUAUUGUUACGUGAGUGCAGUGAUAGCAUGUACUUGAUUGGCAAUGCGAUAGGUUUGGGAACCUUCAGGACCCGUCUUGAAACACGGACCAAGAAGUCUAACAUGUGUGCGAGUCAUUGGGUAUUUUGUUGAAACCUAAGGGCGCAAUUAAAAUAACUAUUUUAUGGGAUUACAAGUGAAUUCGCGUUCAUUUCUUCAUCCCGGGGCGUUCUAUACGAACAUGGUGCAAGCAAUUGAACCCUCUGUUCAAGAGCGUACCUUGAGCAUACAUGCUGUGACCCGAAAGAUGGUGAACUAUACCUGAUCAGAUCGAAGCCAGGAGAAAUUCUGGUGGAGGAUCGAAACAGUUCUGACGUGCAAAUCGAUUGUCAGAAUUGGGUAUAGGGGCGAAAGACCAAUCGAACCAUCUAGUAGCUGGUUCCCUCCGAAGUUUCCCUCAGGAUAGCUGGCGCAAAGAAUUAUAUUGUAUAUAAUCUUAUCUGGUAAAGCGAAUGA